AGGACGCGGAAACAGCAGCGGCAGCAGCAGUAGUCGAGAGACUACACUCAUGUUGAAGAGGAACUGUGAACUUUCUUCUUCCUUCUAAAGGCAUGGAUGGCUUUAUUGUAACAGUUGGUAAUGGCGGCCCCACUGUGGGUGUAAGCAUUUUGACUCCUCACCAACUGAGCUGUGCUAAUCGCACUGUGGAACUGUCAACAACCAGCACCACCGCACUUUCCAGCCAAAAAUAUUUGAUCAAAAGGAAUGAGCUGAUGGCUCAUGGUAGCUGAAGAUUGUUUUCUUCUGACCACCCUGAAGGACGCCUUCACAGAUGUCCUGAUCUAUGGCUGAGCAACAACCAAUUCUCCUCUUCAUAAGACCUGCAGGAUGCUGCUGUGGAUAAACAAGGCUGGAUGUGCUGCAAGCGACCCUGCACACCAGUCGACUAUCUUCUCAUCAAAUCCUUCUUUAAGACAAAGGAACGGGUCCAUCAUGACCGAAGCCAUCCGUCACUUCAACUGCUUCUUCCCAAGAGAUGAAGCAGAUUGCAGGAUCAGGAGAUGGAUAAACUCAGGAAAGAGCUCAGAGCCAGGAUGAGCAUUUUUUGCCCGAGGACCCCCCCAAGUCAAGGAUUGACACUGCCAGUGUGGAAAUGUCAGCAAUGACAAAUAAUAUAGAUAAAGCAAUAUGACAAAAAAACAAAAACAAUGAUGAGUGAUGAUGUCAAACUUUUUAUUGUUAUAUUGUGACAGCUUUCUGUCUCGGAAAAAAACAAACUGCCCAAGCCUUAAGAUGUCAGAGGUGAUUUACUCCCAUUUGAUUCUUCAUGUUUACAUGUGUACGGUUUAUAUUGAUUCACAGAAAGGAUGAGUUACAAGACUCUUUCUCUAUCUGUGUUUCUCUGCUGAGCAUGUGAUGUCAGUCGACCUUUCUCAUGCAUGGCUUCAGACUGAACAGACAGGUGAGAGGAGAUUGUCUUCUAACCAAUAGUGGCUAAAGUUGUGAUAUCAUUCAUAAAAAUUCCCUCCAGUCAUUGCUGAGAUAUUGUUCUCA